rnacentral:rRNA from 1 species
UUUUAUCAGAGAGUUUGAUCCUGGCUCAGGAUGAACGCUGGCGGCGUGCUUAACACAUGCAAGUCGAACGGGAAACCUUUUAAUGAAGCUUCGGCAGAUUUAGCUGGUUUCUAGUGGCGGACGGGUGAGUAACGCGUGGGUAACCUGCCUUAUACAGGGGGAUAACAGUCAGAAAUGACUGCUAAUACCGCAUAAGCGCACAGGGCCGCAUGGCCCGGUGUGAAAAACUCCGGUGGUAUAGGAUGGACCCGCGUUGGAUUAGCUAGUUGGUGG